AUGGCUCGAACAUCUUCGAAACAUGUACCGUCGACCCUCGAAGACCCCGUGGACGUCAAGUUCCAUGUCUGUAACACCCCGGAUAUGAUUUACCUAAUAUGUAAUCCAACUCUUGCCGUUUCCGGCGUUAAGUUAUUUUAUUUUCUCGGGUUCGGGUUUUUGUCUCCGUGUGUUGUUGUUGUUGUCGCAUCUCAUAUCAUGUCCUCAUGUGCUUUGCAUUUGCAUACGUGUUCAUCUCAUGCAUCCGAGCUUUUCCCCGUUGUCCGUUUUGCAUUCUGGCGUUCCGUUCUCCUCCUGUAA
rnacentral:rRNA from 1 species